GAUGAAGUUUCCAAAUGUGUAUGUCGCUGUGAAGAUCUGGAGAAACAAAACAGAUUACUUCAUGAUCAGAUCGAAAAGUUAAGUGACAAGGUCGUUGCCUCUGUGAAGGAAGGUGUACAAGGUCCACUGAAUGUAUCUCUCAGUGAAGAAGGAAAAUCUCAAGAACAAAUUUUGGAAAUUCUCAGAUUUAUACGACGAGAAAAAGAAAUUGCUGAAACUAGGUUUGAGGUGGCUCAGGUUGAGAGUCUGCGUUAUCGACAAAGGGUUGAACUUUUAGAAAGAGAGCUGCAGGAACUGCAAGAUAGUCUAAAUGCUGAAAGGGAGAAAGUCCAGGUAGGUAUACUAAGCUUUAAGAAAGCACUUGUUAAAUCAAAAGAGAAGCACUCAUUUAUAUCUCUACCAUUUAACGUAACGUAAAAUUUAACUUGAAGUAAGCGUUCUUCUAAAGUUGUAAAUUCAUUAAGCAUUUGUUAAAGACUAAUACAAUAUAGUGCUUAAAAAUAAAGGCUCUGUAACCAAACUGUCUGGUUUCAGAUUCUAGCUUCAUCAUUAGCUGUGGCCUUGGGUACGUUGUUUAACUUCCCUGUUCUUUGUUUCUUCAUCUGCAAUAUUUGAUAAUAAUGAGGAUUAAUUGAGUUUGUGCACAUGAAGCAUUUAGAAGCAUGACUGGUAUGUAGUGGGUGCUUAAUAAAUUCCACCUAUCUUAAUUUAUUAUAGUUAUGGUUUAUACAUGUGGAUAGUCAUUCUAGGAUAAAGUGAUUUAAACUGCUACAGAAUAUCUUUCUCACCCAAGGAGCAAAAAGUAUUAAAAACUAACAACCAAAGGAAAAGAAGCUGUGGUAGUGAAAUGGAUGGUAAUAACACAAGCUUGACUCCUUACCCGACACUACCACCCAAAGCUUAUUGUUGAGUCACUUCAUUCUUAGGAGCUACAGUAAUAUACCCCCACAUCUAGAAGGAAGGAAAUUAAGAUCUUAAAACAUUUACCUUCUUUUAACUGAUGAGUAGUCAAAAUGACUGUUAAGAAGAAACCAUUGAUCAGGGAAAAGUAAAUAAUGAAGUUUAUGGGAUUUAUGUGUUCAGCAAAAGCUAAAGGUUCCAGAAUUAUAUACUGUUUAAUUCAAAUGUAUCUCACCGUGGAAAUAAUAGAGCCUCCAGUUCAAUAGAGUUAAUACUUGGAGGAAAAGGGACAGAAUCAGAGUCUCUAACAAAGACUGCAUAUUGUUUCAGUCUUUUCUGCUUCGUUUUUUAUUCCUUUGGGCUAUAGAAAGUAAAUACUAGAAAAAGCCCGCCCAUGAACAAGUUCACAGGGGGAAACCAACUCUUAAAUACAGGAAGGAGAGAGUCAACAAGUAACAUAGAUUAUAUAAAAAAUAAUAUAAUGGGCCAGGCGUGGUGGCUCAUGCCUGUAAACCCAGCACUUUGGGAGGCCGAGGCGGGUGGAUCACGAGGUCAGGAGAUUGAGACCAUCCUGGCUAACACGGUGAAACCCCGUCUCUACUAAAAAUACAAAAAAAUUAGCUGGGCAUGGUGGCGGGCACCUGUAGUCCCAGCUACUCGGGAGGCUGAGGCAGGAGAAUGGCGUAAACCCGGGAGGAGGAGCUUGUAGUGAGCCAAGAUCACACCACUGGACUCCAAUCUGGGCAACAGAGCGAGACUCUGUCUCAAAAAAUAAUAAUAAUAAUAAUGUAAUGUCUGUGUAAGCAUGAACAGUGUAGCAUGGCAACCAUGAAAUAUGCUAUAGCUUUAAAAAUAGUGGGGGAAGAAAGUAAUACCAAGUGCAGAAGAUGGAUAAUUAUAACCUAUGAGAAGGAAAAAAUUCUUCACAAAUAAUUCAGUAAAAUUUCUCAUAGCCAAAGUGAUAAAACAAUGGAUCAAAAUGAAGAGAGAUUUCUGAACAAGAGGGAGUAAACUGAGGAUUAGAAUAACAUUUUAGAACUAAUGAAUUUAGUGCAGCAAGGAAAAAAGAUACAGAAAAGUAAAUAGAGAUUUGGAUUAAUGUUUUUACCUAAUGUUAAUACUUUGUUGGUGGGAUUUGUAGCGUCUUUUCACUUUUAUCUUUGUAAUUCUUGUAUUUGUUUAAAGUCUGCAGUUAGUAUGCCUCACAGAAAAGUAAACGUGAACUUUCAAAAAUUUUAGUUCUAAAAGUUGAAACUUAAAUCCUCUUUACUUUGUCAUAGGGAGGAUUUGAGCUCAUAGGAACAGGUAGACUUUCAACUAUUGUUAGAUGUUGGUAUGUAUAUUUAUUUGAAAUGUUUAGGUAACUGCAAAAACAAUGGCUCAGCAUGAAGAACUGAUGAAGAAAACUGAAACAAUGAAUGUAGUUAUGGAGACCAAUAAAAUGCUAAGAGAAGAAAAGGAGAGACUAGAACAGGAUCUACAGCAAAUGCAAGCAAAGGUGAGGAAACUGGAGUUAGAUAUUUUACCCUUACAAGAAGCAAAUGCUGAGCUGAGUGAGAAAAGCGGUAUGUUGCAGGCAGAGAAGAAGCUGUUAGAAGAGGAUGUCAAACGUUGGAAAGCACGUAACCAGCAUCUAGUAAGUCAACAGAAAGAUCCAGAUACAGAAGAAUAUCGGAAGCUCCUUUCUGAAAAGGAAGUUCAUACUAAGCGUAUUCAACAGUUGACAGAAGAAAUUGGUAGACUUAAAGCUGAAAUUGCAAGAUCAAAUGCAUCUUUGACUAACAACCAGAACUUAAUUCAGAGUCUGAAGGAAGAUCU
rnacentral:sRNA from 1 species